AGUGAACGCUGGCGGUAGGCCUAACACAUGCAAGUCGAACGGCAGCACAGUAAGAGCUUGCUCUUACGGGUGGCGAGUGGCGGACGGGUGAGGAAUACAUCGGAAUCUACUUUUUCGUGGGGGAUAACGUAGGGAAACUUACGCUAAUACCGCAUACGACCUACGGGUGAAAGCAGGGGAUCUUCGGACCUUGCGCGAUUGAAUGAGCCGAUGUCGGAGUAGCUAGUUGGCGGGGUAAAGGCCCACCAAGGCGACGAUCCGUAGCUGGUCUGAGAGGAUGAUCAGCCACACUGGAACUGAGACACGCACCAGACUCCUACGGGAGGCAGCAGUGGGGAAUAUUGGACAAUGGGCGCAAGCAUGAUCCAGCCAUACCGCGUGUGUGAAGGAGGCCUUCGGGUUGUGAAGCCGUUUUGUUGGGAAAGAAAAGCAGCAGGUUAAUACCCCGCUGUUCUGACGGUACCGAAAGAAUAAGCACCGGCUAACUACGUG
rnacentral:rRNA from 1 species